UACAGAGGUCCCGAGCGUUGUUCGGAUUCACUGGGCGUAAAGGGUGCGUAGGCGGCGCGGUAAGUCGGGUGUGAAAUCUCGGAGCUUAACUCUGAAACUGCAUUCGAUACUGCCGUGCUUGAGGACUGGAGAGGAGACUGGAAUUUACGGUGUAGCGGUGAAAUGCGUAGAUAUCGUAAGGAAGACCAGUGGCGAAGGCGGGUCUCUGGACAGUUCCUGACGCUGAGGCACGAAGGCCAGGGGAGCAAACGGG
rnacentral:rRNA from 1 species